rfam:Drosophila pseudoobscura pseudoobscura strain MV2-25 chromosome 2, whole genome shotgun sequence.
GGCAUCAGUUUUCAAGAUGGAGGUCACCGUCGCUGUCGCCCCGGUUUUUCUUUCAACUGACGCUUCAAUUGAAACAUGUGUGGGGUGUCUG